rnacentral:rRNA from 1 species
GUCUACGGCUGUGCCACCCUGAACAAGCCCGAACUCGUCUGAUCUCAGAAGCUAAGCAGGGUUAGUACUUGUUUGGGAGACCACCUAGGAAGACUAGGUGCUAUAGGUG